CCAAAACUUAGCUGCCCGGCCGCAAGGUCGUGGACGCUUCAACCCUCUGUGAACCAAAAAACCUUUCGCUUCGGCAGCCGCCCGGUCAGAGAUGACCGCGGCUUCAGCCUGCCGGCAGCACCAAACACAAAAAACUUGCUUUGAAAAUUAUGUCUGAUAACCAAAUUUUCGAAUGAAAAUUA
rnacentral:misc_RNA from 1 species